rnacentral:rRNA from 1 species
AUGAAAUUAAAAUUAUUAAAUAUAAUUUUAUCAAUAAUAAAUAAACUUAAUAAUAAUAAUAAUAUUAUUAUUAAUAAUCUAUUAGAUUCAUUAAUAAAUAAGAAAUUAUUAUUAAAGAAUAUAUUAUUAGAUAUAAAUAAUAAAAAAAUAAAUAAUAUAAAAAGAAUAUUAAAUAAUAAUAAUAUAAACCCCGCGGGCGCCAAUCCGGUUGUUCACCGGAUUGGUCCCGCGGGGAAUAUUAAUAAUAAAUUACAACAUUUAAAUAAUAUAAAUAAUUGAAAUCUACAAAUUUAUAAUUAUAAUAAAAAUAUAGAAAUUAUAAAUACUAUAAAUGAUAAAUUAAUUAAUAAAUUAUUAUAUAAAAUAAUAACUUUAAAAUUAAAUAAUAUAAAUAUUAAUAAAAUUAUUAUAAGUAAACUUAUUAAUCAACAUAGUUUAAAUAAAUUAAAUAUUAAAUUUUAUUAUUAUAAUAAUGAUAUUAAUAAUAAUAAUAAUAAUAAUAAUAAUUAUUAUAUAAAUAUAAUAAAUAAAUUAAUAAAUAUUAUAAAUAAUAAUAUAAAUAAUAAUUUAUGUAAUAUUUUAAGUUAUUAUUAUAAUAAAAAAGUAACUAUUGAACCUAUUAAAUUAUCAUAUAUUUAUUUAAAUAGUGAUAUUUUUAGUAAAUAUAUUAGUUUAAAUGAUAUAGAUAAAUAUAAUAAUGGUAUCUUAACUAAUUAUCAACGUAUAUUAAAUAAUAUUAUGCCUAAAUUAAAUGAUCAUAAUAUUUCUAUAAAUUAUAUUAAUAAUAUUAAUAAUAUUAAUAAUAAUAAAUAUAAUAAUAUAAUUAAUUUAUUAAAUAAUAAUAAUAAUAUUAAUAAUAAUAAUAAUUAUAAUAAUAAUAAUAAUAAUUAUAUUGGUAAUAUUAAUAAUAUUUAUAAUAAUAUAACUAUUGAUAAUAUUCCUAUAGAUAUUUUAAUAUAUAAAUAUUUAGUUGGUUGAUCUAUUAAAUUUAAAGGUAGAUUAAGUAAUAAUAAUGGUAGAACUAGUACACUUAAUUUAUUAAAUGGUACUUUUAAUAAUAAAAAAUAUUUAUGAAGUAAUAUUAAUAAUAAUUAUAAAUUAAAUUAUAUCCCUUCUAAUCAUAAUUUAUAUAAUAAUUCUAAUAUUAAUAAAAAUGGUAAAUAUAAUAUUAAAGUUAAAUUAAACUUUAUUUAA